GUCACGGUGACCCGAAAUAGUAAAAUGGUUUCCGGAUGAUAACUCAAGAACGCUUAGGCCUAGGAUCAUGAAACUUGAUAGGUAAAUUGAUCAUGACUCGCAGAUGACCCCUAUUGAUUUUCAAGUCACUAGGUCAAAGGUAAAGGUCACAUUGACCCAAAAUUGUAAAAUGUUUUCCGAAUGAUAACUCAAGAACGCUUAGGCCUAGGAUCAUGAAACUUGAUAGGUAGAUUGAUCAUGACUCGCAGAUGACCCCUAUUGAUUUUUAGGUCACAAGGUCAAAGGUCAAGGAAACGUUGACCCGAAAUAGUAAAAUGGUUUCCGAAUGAUAACUCAAGAACCCUUAUGCCUAGGAUCAUGAAACUUGAUAGGUAGAUUGAUCAUGACUUGCAGAUGACCCCUAGUGAUUUUCAGGUCACUAGGUCAAAGGUCAAGGUCACAGUGACCCGAAAUAGUUAAAUGGUUUCCGAAUGAUAACUCAAGAACGCUUAUGCCUAGGAUCAUAAAAAUCUUCAUAAGUACAUUGAUCAUGACUUGCAGAUGACCCCUAUUGAUUUUCAGGUCACUUGGUCAAAGGUCACGGUGACCCGAAAUAGUAAAAUGGUUUCCGGAUGAUAACUCAAGAACGCUUACGGCUAGGAUCAUGAAACUUCAUAGGUACAUUGAUCAUGACUGGCAGAUGACCCCUAUUGAUUUUCAGGUCACUAGGUCAAAGGUCAAGGUCACAGUGAC